CGGCGGACGGGUGAGUAACACGUGGAUAACCUACCUAUAAGACUGGGAUAACUUCGGGAAACCGGAGCUAAUACCGGAUAAUAUAUUGAACCGCAUGGUUCAAUAGUGAAAGACGGUUUUGCUGUCACUUAUAGAUGGAUCCGCGCCGCAUUAGCUAGUUGGUAAGGUAACGGCUUACCAAGGCAACGAUGCGUAGCCGACCUGAGAGGGUGAUCGGCCACACUGGAACUGAGACACGGUCCAGACUCCUACGGGAGGCAGCAGUA
rnacentral:rRNA from 1 species